rnacentral:rRNA from 1 species
AUGUUUUUGGACUACGACGGUACUUUAACGCCAAUUGUGAAAAAGCCUGAAAGGGCCUUUAUGUCCGAGCAGACGCGUAAUGCUGUUAGAGAACUUGCGAUGACUUUCUCGACUUCAAUCGUCACCGGAAGGAGCUGUGACAAGGCAAAAGGGUUCAUACAGCUCGACGAACUGCACUAUGCAGGGAGCCAUGGGCAGGACAUCCAACUGAAUGACGGAACAGAUCCCUUCCAACCUAACAGCGAGUAUUUACCGGUAAUAGCUGAGGCCACAGAGCGUCUGAAAGAGGCUGUCAGAGAGAUCAAAGGUGCCAGUGUGGAAAACAAUAAGUUCUGCGUUUCUGUGCACUACCGGGAAGUUCGCAGGGAAAAGGAUAAGGACUUACUUAAGAACAUCGUGAUGAGAACUGUGACAGAAGAAUUUCCUGAUCUCAAGGUGACCAACGGUAAAAAGGUUCGAGAGGUUCGUCCAGGGGCGAAAUUCGACAAGGGAGACGCCGUCAAGUAUCUCCUCCAGCAGCUCACCAACAAACAUAGCUGGGACAGCUCUCGGAUCUUACCAAUCUAUAUUGGUGAUGAUAAGACCGAUGAAGACGCUUUUAAGGUGCUUUCUGAGGAGGGUGGAUUUGGGAUCCGCGUCUGCAAGUGGCGCAAGAGGACUGCAGCUGAGUACUCUCUAAAGAACCCCAGUGAGGUGAAAGAGUUCCUAGAGAAGCUGGUGCGCUGGAGGAGAGAACAGGACCAAGUUUGA